CCAAUUGAACGCCAAGAUAGUUUUCCCCAAAUUUCGACAAUCUAAUUUCACCCAAAAAGAGUAUGGAAAAACCCUAAAAAUUGGGGAUUUUUGGGCUGAUUCCUUAAGAUAGAAAAAGGCUGAAAACACAAUAAGAACAGAAAAUAGAUUAGAUAAUGAUUCAGCACAAGUAGAAAUAAAGAAAGAAUUGACAGUAAGAAAUUAAAAGAUAAGUC
rnacentral:lncRNA from 1 species